rnacentral:rRNA from 1 species
UACGAAGGGGGCUAGCGUUGCUCGGAUUGACUGGGCGUAAAGGGCGCGUAGGCGGUUCGUACAGUCAGACGUGAAAUUCCUGGGCUCAACCUGGGGGCUGCGUUUGAUACGUGCGGACUUGAGUGCGGAAGAGGGUCGUAGAAUUCCCAGUGUAGAGGUGAAAUUCGUAGAUAUUGGGAAGAACACCGGUGGCGAAGGCGGCGACCUGGUCCGAUACUGACGCUGAGGCGCGAAAGCGUGGGGAGCAAACAGG